CUACGGGGCGCUGCAGUGAGGAAUUUUGCGCAAUGGGGGAAACCCUGACGCAGCAACGCCGCGUGAGUGAUGAAGGCCUUCGGGUCGUAAAGCUCUGUCAAGUGGGAAGAACCCACCCUGUGCUAAUAUCACAGGGUGCUGACGGUACCACUGAAGGAAGCACCGGCUAGCUCCGUGCCAGCAGCCGCGGUAAUACGGAGGGUGCAAGCGUUAUUCGGAAUUACUGGGCGUAAAGGGCGCGUAGGCGGCCUUUUAAGUCAGAUGUGAAAUCCCGGGGCUCAACCCCGGAAGUGCAUCUGAAACUAAGAGGCUUGAGUAUGGGAGAGGGAAGUGGAAGUCCUGGUGUAGAGGUGAAAUUCGUAGAUAUCAGGAGGAACACCGGUGGCGAAGGCGACUUCCUGGACCAAUACUGACGCUGAGGCGCGAAGGCGUGGGGAGCAAACAGGAUUAGAUACCCCAGUAGUC
rnacentral:rRNA from 1 species